CGUCACCCACAGAGAGAGAGAGAGAGAGAGCAAAAGCAAAGAGUUGCUCUGUACUCUGUGCAAAAACUGCCACGCAAAACGGCGGCCGGCUUGUAGGUGCCCCCCACCCUCUGUUUACCCUUCCCUUCCCAGCCAACAACAACACCUACUCAUAUGUGCAGUACUGAACUUCUCCCUUCGCUGCACUUCGCCUCCUCCGCAUAUGUCUGUGUGCGAUGCACUUGGUGCGAUUCAUUUGCUUUUAUUACAAUUUCUUGCUUGCACCCGUCCCCCUCGUACCCAACCGUUCUCCGCCGCUGCGUUGGCGUCGCUGACGUCGCCAUCCUCUCUCUUGUGUAGGGGGGGCUUUCUGUACAUAAGGUGGCAACCCUGGCCCCGGACAUAAUGCGUUGGAGAAUCAGUUCUGUACCCUUUUCGGCCAGUCCGGAGCGCGACUUUGAAUUGCAUGGAACGGUGCCGAAACGGUGCAAUUGCAAAAAGAGAAAGAGAACUUUAUACAAAUAAAUUACCAAAGACAUUCCAAAAAUAAGUAAAAUGCCAGCGGCAAAGACAAUAAUUCAACGCAAAAAGUGUUCCCUGUGUGCAAAUCCAGUGAAAGACUGUUUUUUGGAAAACGACGAGAGCAGUGGAGAAAAAAAAGAGGAAAAUGGAUAGUCAGAGGGCGAAACCAUGUCCCCUCGCUGGGUUGGCCGGUGGCGGUGGCAGUGCCAAAGGACAAUGGUUCAAGUGCAAAGGGGAUGCCGCUCAGCACGACGAGCAUGCAACAAGGACGGAGCGACAUGCAAGGACAUUUCGAGCGAGCAAAAUUCUGUGAUUAUCAAGCGGAAGUAAAGCAGGAGGAAGGAAUAGAAGGAAGGAAUGACUCUAUUAAAUUCCCAAAAAAAAAGAACUUAGACAAAGAGCAACGUGAAGGAAUUGUCAUAAAGGACAAACACAAAAGGAGAACUUCCACAGGAACUUCCGAAGCUGCAAAAGGAAUUUCACAACUUUACCAAAUGGAUUAAACAUGUUUUUCCUCUCAACGAGGGUUGUCCCUCGCUCCACAAAACGAAUACAAAUAGGGAAGGAGAACAUCUGCUAUCAAUGGAUCAAUGGAUAAAAUAGUUUAUAAAACAACAGAGAAAAAUGGUGCAUACUUAUAUAUGGACCAUUAACAGAAACCCGUAAUUCCGAACUUGUGCUGUUUUAUAUCUGUUACAAGACCGGCAUUAUGGGAGUCUGUCAAUGCAAACAACUGGUUUUUGGCAACAAAAUUUUAUCACAAAUUUUCGAUAAAACACAUCUUUUGCAUACAAAUUGAAGGAUAAAUGAAGGAAAUACAACAAGCAUCGCACAAUUGUUAAUCGUUGAGGAAUUUUAAUAUUAAUCGAGUAUAAAGGACAAGGUUAAAUGGAAAGAUGAACAAAUAAAUUGAGAGUAAUAUAACUAUUAAAACAAUAACAAUUAAUCAAACUAAAAAUAUUCAAAUUUAAAAAGUAAUGCAAUGAAAAAGAAAGGAAGGAAUAUAUGCAACUAUAUUGAAAAUCGGUGAAAAAAAAAACUAAACUAAAGAUCUAACAUGAUUUUGGAAUUUAACACAAAGGCAUAUAAUUUAAUUUGUUUUUAACUAAAUAAUAAUCAAGUGAACAGAAUGGGCUGAAAAUAUUC